rnacentral:rRNA from 1 species
UACGGGGGGAGCAAGCGUUGUUCGGAUUUACUGGGCGUAAAGCGUGCGCAGGCGGUUAUGUAAGACAGGUGUGAAAUCCCCGGCUUAACCUGGGAACUGCAUUUGUGACUGCAUGGCUAGAGUACGGCAGAGGGGGAUGGAAUUCCGCGUGUAGCAGUGAAAUGCGUAGAUAUGCGGAGGAACACCGAUGGCGAAGGCAAUCCCCUGGGCCUGUACUGACGCUCAUGCACGAAAGCGUGGGAGCAACAGGAUAG